ACCUGGCUGGCUCAGUCAGUGGAACACGAGACUCUUGAUCUUGGGGUUGUGGGUUCAAGUCCCACAUUGGGUA
rnacentral:tRNA from 1 species